rnacentral:rRNA from 1 species
GACGAGCGGCGGACGGGUGAGUAAUGUCUGGGAAACUGCCUGAUGGAGGGGGAUAACUACUGGAAACGGUAGCUAAUACCGCAUAACGUCGCAAGACCAAAGAGGGGGACCUUCGGGCCUCUUGCCAUCAGAUGUGCCCAGAUGGGAUUAGCUAGUAGGUGGGGUAAUGGCUCACCUAGGCGACGAUCCCUAGCUGGUCUGAGAGGAUGACCAGCCACACUGGAACUGAGACACGGUCCAGACUCCUACGGGAGGCAGCAGUGGGGAAUAUUGCACAAUGGGCGCAAGCCUGAUGCAGCCAUGCCGCGUGUGUGAAGAAGGCCUUCGGGUUGUAAAGCACUUUCAGCGAGGAGGAAGGUGGUGAGCUUAAUACGCUCAUCAAUUGACGUUACUCGCAGAAGAAGCACCGGCUAACUCCGUGCCAGCAGCCGCGGUAAUACGGAGGGUGCAAGCGUUAAUCGGAAUUACUGGGCGUAAAGCGCACGCAGGCGGUUUGUUAAGUCAGAUGUGAAAUCCCCGGGCUCAACCUGGGAACUGCAUUUGAAACUGGCAAGCUAGAGUCUCGUAGAGGGGGGUAGAAUUCCAGGUGUAGCGGUGAAAUGCGUA